rnacentral:rRNA from 1 species
AUUGAACGCUGGCGGCAGGCCUAACACAUGCAAGUCGAGCGAGCGGCGGCCGGGGGAGUAAGGUAGGGGGACUGCCCGAUAGAGGGGGAUAACUACUGGAAACGGUAGCUAAUACCGCAUACUAUGGGAUAACCCAUAUGGGAUUAGCUAGUAGGUGAGGUAAGGGCCCACCUAGGCGACGAUCCCUAGCUGGUCUGAGAGGAUGAUCAGCCACACUGGGACUGAGACACGGCCCAGACUCCUACGGAGGCAGCAGUGGGGAAUAUUGCACAAUGGGCGCAAGCCUGAUGCAGCCAUGCCGCGUGUAUGAAGAAGGCCCUAGGGUUGUAAAGUACUUUCAGUCGGGAGGCGUUACCGACAGAAGAAGCACCGGCUAACUCCGUGCCAGCAGCCGCGGUAAUUC